UAUAUAUAUUAUGUAUAUAAAUUGAAUGCU
rnacentral:piRNA from 1 species